rnacentral:misc_RNA from 1 species
GAAAUGCGAUACGUAGUGUGAAUUGCAGAAUUCAGUGAAUCAUCGAAUCUUUGAAAGAACAUUGCGCCCUUUGGUAUUCCAAAGGGCAUGCCUGUUCGAGCGUCAUUUGUACCCUCAAGCUUUGCUUGGUGUUGGGCGUCUUUUUGUCUCUCCCCUUGUUGGGGGAGACUCGCCUUAAAACGAUUGGCAGCCGACCUACUGGUUUUCGGAGCGCAGCACAAAUUUGCGCCUUCCAAUCCACGGGGCGGCAUCCAGCAAGCCUUUGUUUUCUAUAACAAAUCCACAUUUUGACCUCGGAUCAGGUAGGGAUACCCGCUGAACUUAAGC